GGCGGACGGGUGAGUAACGCGUGGGAAUCUGCCUACUAGCGGGGGAUAGCCCGGAGAAAUCCGGAUUAAUACCGCAUAAGCCCUACGGGGGAAAGCUGGGGAUCUUCGGACCUGGCACUAGUAGAUGAGCCCGCGUUAGAUUAGCUUGUUGGUGGGGUAAUGGCCUACCAAGGCAACGAUCUAUAGCUGGUCUGAGAGGACGAUCAGCCACACUGGGACCGAGACACGGCCCAG
rnacentral:rRNA from 1 species